rnacentral:lncRNA from 1 species
AGAGCAGAGGACUGAAAAUCCUCGUGUCACCAGUUCAAAUCUGGUUCCUGGCACAGAAAAAAAGGAUCUACCGAAUAGAUAUUGAUACAAAUAUUUUGAGAUGGAUUGGGAUAAAUAUUCAUUAAAAAUCUACUUAGUCUAGAGUAAGUAGAUAAAUGUCUAGAGUAAGUAGAUAAAUCUCUAAACACUUCUUUUUCUUUUAAAAAUAAAAAAGGGUUCAAAUCUCUGGUUCUUUUCUUUAUGGUAUAGAAAGAGGUGAGAUUAGGUGCCCUUUUCUUCAUUUUGCAUUUCUUAUUAAUUUUGUAUGCCGCUAUUCCGAAGAAUAUUUUUUUUUAUUCUUGCUUAUCCUACUUUCCUAGUUGUUCUAAGUAAUAUGCGCGGUACAAAGUUCGUGGUAGGAACUUCUUUGAGUCAUUGUAUUUUUCUGUUCAUACGAAGGAAACAAAUAUGUGAUUUUCCAAAUUGGAAAAUCGAAAUGAAGCCCUUUUUGUUCAGUCUAUCUGGACCUUUUUGUAUAAUAGGAAUUAAUUAGAAUAUUAUAUUCUAAGUAUUUCGUUUCGUCUAGGAACAGAACCUCAAAAUAUUCCUUUACUUUAAUAAAAUCUGGAAUUGUGUUGUAUAAGUGAACAUGAAUUUAUUAUCACUCAAUGAGCAUCUUGUAUUUCAUAGAAAUUGGGGGUUAUAUAGUCCUUACGUAAGGGCCAGCCUAUCCAACUUUCAGGCAUUAAGAUACGUUUAAGACGUGGAUGAUUAUCAUAAGAAAUUCCCACCAUAUCAUAAGAUUCGCGUUCUUGAAAAUCGGCACUUCUCCAAACCCAGAAAACAGACGGGAUUCUAGGAUUAUCCUUUUGGGCAAAGACUUUUAUGCAUACCUCUUCUGGGUUAUCUAUACCAUACUGUAUUCUCGUAAGAUGAUACACGCUAGCUAAAGAUCCACCGGGUGCUACGUCAUAAGCACAUUGGGAACGUAAAUAAUUGUAACCAUAUACAUAUAAAAUGACAGCAAUGGAAUCCCAAUCCCCCGCUUUUAUUUGUAAAGUCUCGACUCCUCGAUGAUCGAAGCCCAAAGACCUAUGAACCACGUCAUGUUUAACUAGCCAAUUAGAUAACCAACCCUGCUGCAUUGUCUUGAUCUCUCCCCCUUUGUAUAAAUAUUUCACAUUUCAAAUGCAAGUUUGAAAGAUUGCACUGCUCUUUCUUUUUCUGCACAAAAGAACCCCUCCUAAUUCACUAAUUUGUAGGAAGAUACUGAACUUUUGGAUUUGAAAAAAGUUUCAGAAGAUAUAUCUAAAGUAGAUGGUGAUUGAUAGAGCAAUUCUUGUUCGUAAGUUCCAGUGUGAGUACUGCGCCGAACAUAAAGUUUGUGACGGGUAGUAAAAGAUCUAUUUUUCUUUUGACUUUGACAUAGAGUUCGAUCCUCAAUUAUUUCUCGCGCUAUCUUCUUACGAAGUUUUGUUAGGGCAUCUAUAACAGCCUCUGGUUUAGGCGGGCAACCCGGCAGGUAGACGUCCACAGGAAUUAACUUAUCAACUCCUCGAACAGUACUAUAGGAAUCUGUACUGAACAUGCCCCCUGUAAUAGUACAGGCUCCCAUAGCAAUGACGUAUUUCGGUUCAGGCAUUUGCUCAUAUAAUCGCACUAAAGAUGGAGCCAUUUUCAUUGUUACCGUACCAGCUGUUAAAAUUAGGUCCGCUUGUCUAGGACUUGAUCUCGGUACCAAUCCAUAACGAUCAAAGUCGAAUCGCGAGCCUAUUAAUGAGGCAAAUUCAAUGAAACAACAACUGGUACCAUAUAGAAGGGGCCAUAAACUUGAGAGUCUUGACCAAUUCGAAAGAUCGUUUGGUGUAGUUGAAAUAACGGAAUUAGAACUUGUUUGGUCGAGUAACGGAAACUCAAUCAAACUCAUAAUUGUCUCAAUGGAAUCUUUUCCUUCUUUUUUUUUCUGAAUAUUCAGUUAAGACCAUUCCAAGGCUCCUUUUCGCCAUGCAUAAACUAAACCAACAACUAGGAUAAGCACAAAAAUGAAAGCUUCGAUAAAAACGGAUACACCCAAUACGUCGAAACUCAUUGCCCAAGGGUAGAGAAAGACUGUUUCCACAUCAAAAACAACAAAAACUAGCGCAAACAUGUAAUAGCGUAUUCGGAAUUGUAACCAAGCCCCCCCCAUGGGUUCUAUACCCGAUUCAUAACUAGAAAGCUUCUCUGGUCCUUCACUAACCGGGGCUAAAAGUCCUGAAAUCCAAAAUACCAAAAUAGGAAUAAGGCUUGCUAUUAUUAGAAAUGUCCAAAAAAUAUCAUAUUCGUGAAGCAGAAACAUAAAUGUACUCCCAUUAAUGUGGAAUAGGCGGAACUGAAUUAGUCAAUUCAAGUUGACAUUGUCAAUUUAUCCAGAACUUCUCUCUUUUCCUCGGUGAAACAAGAAUCUGUUUUGCUCAAACCAAAGGCAAGGAGCGCUUACUUUAGGCUUUGUUUCUUUUGUGAUAUGUCUUCCUUAAGGAUUCAUCCAAUGUAAUCCCCACUGCCCUUCUUUAUUUAUUUUGUAUCGGGUUACUAAAUACUAAACAAAUUCAAGAAAUAAGAGAAUUCAGAAUAGCUACCAGAAAGACUAAUCCAAUCCAUAAUGAUGUACCGGAAAAUACAACGUUUUUAUUAUUUGACCAACCAUCAGGAGAAGCAAAUACAAGGGGUACACUAAUUACUAAAACUGAGGAAGUCGCAAUUAAUGCAAAAACAGCUAAUUGGAAAGCAAUAGUCAUAUUUAUGAUCCUCCAAACUACCUUCAAAUAAAGUUGACUACAUAUUUCUAUUUGAUCCCUCACUUAAUCAAAAUUGUACGAAAAUACAAGAAGUAGGAGGGGUUUAAUCAUGAAUCCAUUGAUUCUUCUUUUUAUUAAAACUUUUUCCUUACCGCUUUUAUUUGGAUAUGGAGUUGAGGGGAGGGGAUUUAGCCUUUAUUUCACAAACGGAUAUAGCGGAUUCUGUAUCCGUGUAUACAGUAUACAGAGAUAUAUUGAAAGUGGACUUGCAUCUGAGAUGAGUUAGUAGAUCAUUUCAUAUAGCAAUGUUCUAUUUGUAGUUACCAAUGAAUAGGAUAGAGAAGCUCUAUCCUAGAUUUCUAUGGUAUAUGGAAUUUAUGGUUUCCUUUGGUUUAAAUCCAAUCAUCUAGAUUGGAAGAAGCAAUUCCCCCAUUGGUAACAAAUGGUUAUCCAUUAAGCGGAGGAAAUAGUAAUAAAAAGAAAAAGGCUUAUGCUCCUUUAUCUUAAAAGAACGGACUAAAGGGUCAGCUACUUAGCCAACUUUCAUAAUUAAAUACCGUCACUGUAUGAAUAAUUCUUAUUGUGAAAAGAGUUAUUUACUCUAUAAUGGAUAGGUAGAGCCAAAGAAUGUGAACUAUACAAGUUCACAAUACCUUUUGAUGAAAUGAAAGAAAGGGCUCCGGUGUAUAGAGAGGGCCUCGCCGUUUAAAAGGGAACCAUAAAAACGAUGGAACCCACUGUUUUUUUAGUAUCGUUAGAAUUUGUUAUUUCUAUGCGAAAUAACUGAAUAGAAUAAAAAAUCGUGGUUGGGAAGGUUAUAGUAGCAAAAGCCAUUGGAAUUAAUUCUAAACAAAAGUAGAAGUUCAAAACCUAAUAAAUUUAAUUAUCUCUUCCAUUCUAUGGCCCCAAGAAUGCCAAUAUUAGCACGAAUCGUACGGAAAUGUAACUCGGUAUUCAAACAACUAUUCAGAGUUCCUAGAGCUCCUUGUACAGCUUGUUGGAAAACCCGUUGUCGGACCUGAUUCCCAAUCCAUCUCGAGUAAUUUUUAUCAAUACCUAUUCGGUAGAUCCUUUUUUCUGUGCCAGGAACCAGAUUUGAACUGGUGACACGAGGAUUUUCAGUCCUCUGCUCUACCAACUGAGCUAUCCUGACCAUUUAUUGUGCAUCAUCCUAGUAGAGUACGUACUUGUAUCUAUGUCAAUUAAAGGGACUAAAAAAGAAAAAAGUCUUCUAAAAUUGGACUUAGUAAAUGUCAGGAUAAUGAUAUGGAUUGUGAAUGACUUACUUAAUAAUAGGGAUUACUUGCCUAUACUAUAAUAUGUUCAUUUGUAUGAAUGGGAUAAGAUCCAAAGAAGUAAGUUCGGAUCCGUUUGUGAAAGAGUAGAAUAAGAAAGAUAGUGAAUCUUGUUUGAACCAUUAAUGAAAAAUAGAGGUUGGUACAAUAGUUAGGAAGUAAAAUGGGCUUUUUAUUGGGGAUAGAGGGACUUGACUUGAACCCUCACAAUUUAGAAAGUCGACGGAUCGACUAUAUAAUAUACUAUAAAUUUCAUUGUUGUCGGUAUUGACAUGUAGAAUGGGGUUCUCUCUCCAUUCACUUUGAGCUGGGUUUCUUGUGAUCUUUGUAGUUGUUUUUCCGUCCAAUUUUAUGGUAAAUUCAGUCAUAGGAAUCCAGACUCCGCUUGAUUCGAUCUUCAGUUUCGACCUUCAUCACUCAGGAAAUUUUUGUUGCCACUUAUUCCACUCAGAGAGACCGAACCAGGCAACAAAAAGGCUGAAGGAAGUUCUCUUUCCAUUCCAACUAAACUAAGUGAAAAAAGGGAUAGAGCAAAUUGUUGAGGAACAAAGAAAAUAUCUCCAAACCAACGACUCCUUUCCUUUGGUCGACUCUAAAGAAUGUAUCGGGAGUUGGGAGUUAGCCGUCUCAUAGGAGUGAUAGCAGGGAACGGAGUUUCUUCGUACGAUUGAAAAAAAGAGUGCUCUAGGUCGGAGAAAACAACAAGAAGAUUGUUCAACAGUCUGUCUCCCAACCUCUUUAAAGCAGCUACCUACCGUGAUAUGGUCUUGGGACAGCAUUGGCACCUCCGUUUGCUGGAUCUUCUAGGCACUCGAAAGCGCUUCCACGAGAGACAGAUGGACUUUGAGUUAUAGACGGAGAAGAGCCCUUAGAGGAUGAAGAGUGAUUCCUAGCCCUUAUCCGAGCGAUGACUACGACCCACGAGCGAUACCUUUGUCUUUGGUGCUUG